CUCUAUUACAUAAGUUAAUUUCUAAUUCUUAUCUCACAUUAUGAGAUAAGUACGCAGUUAUUAUUGUAUCGGCCCAAAACCUCGCUAAUUGAUCUUUACGGUGCUUCCUCUCUCUCUAUCAAUUAAAGCCUUAUAUCCAUAGAAAAAGUUGCUAGGCAUUUUUAUUUUUUCCUAUUUUGACUUCUAUGAAGUUUCUUUCUUUGCUACAGCUGAUAAAAAUCGUUGUUUUAGACGAUGCAUAUGUAGAAAGCCUAUUUGGUUCUAGUAGUUACUUUACUAGAUUUUUCUUUUUUUUCUUUCUAUAGUGGAGAUAGUCGCACGUAAUGACAGAUCACGGCCAUAUUAUUAAAAGCUUGUGGUAAGAAUGGGUUUCGUUCUAGUGCUCGAAAAUAAUAUUCCAAAGCUUUCGUAUGUUCUCCAUUACUUGUGUGGAUAAGCCCUAUAUUAUAGAGUAUAUAACUUCGAUCAUAGGGAUCAAUUUCUAGUCGCAUAGCUUCAUAAUAAUUCUGCAAAGCUUCCGCGUAAUUUUCUUCGGAUUGAGCCGACAUCCGUUACGGUCGUCAUUCAAUUGAAAGAAUCUCCGUUCCAGAACCGUACGUGAGAAUUUCACCUCAUAUGGCUCCUCCCUUAUGUGCAAAAUAGGAUGUUUUCCAUCUCAAGUCCGAGACAUGGUUCUAUCAACUAAUUAAUAUUUUAUUAAGUGAUUCGUCGCCAUCCAACCUAUUAGGAAUAUGUUGACUCACAAAAGAGUCUCACCUUUUAAUAGAUUAAAACGACAAAAUAAACCAUAUAGAUCAUAAUAAUUAUAUCAAGAUUAAGAGUAUAAGUACAUGUAAUGGACUAGAGAAAUCGUUUAUUAAUAUUCAAAACAUAAACGAACGUCUCUAAUUGGUCCGUUCAAUACAUACGAAAUGUACUAGUACAAGAAGUUGGAAUAUUAUCAUUCCCAUAACCAAGAUCAAAUUAUAUUUAAUCUUGUGCUACAAUCAUCAAGAUGUUUGUCCUACCUCAUCUUUGAUUGUGAACCAAAGGUGUCAAAUGGGCCGGCCCAUUUAGGAAACUAGCCCGGUUUGACCGGGCUCGGUUAGCCCCGAGGCAGUAGGGUACCGAGUUCUGAACUGGGCUAAUUUUAUUAUUGGGCCCGGUUAACCCGGCCCGGAGCAAAACCGGUCCAGGCACACUGGUUAACCUGUCCGGCUCGAAUUAUUAUUAUUUUUUUAAAAUGGAAUUUUUGACCGUUAGACCAAAGUAGUCGUUGGGCCCAACGUUUAUAUGGCCGUUUGGACACAAAAACGGCUAUUUUGGCCUUUUUAAUUAAAAAAAAAGUUUUUCCAUUUAAAAUAUUUUUUUAAAACCAAAAAUAAAUCCUAUAAAUACCCUACACUUUCAAAUUAUUUUUCAUACAAUUUUCAAUCUCUCAAAUCUCAUUCUCUCUCAAAUCUCAAUUCUCAAAUAUUCUAUAUAUUUCCUAAAGUUCUCAAUUUAAUUUUUUAAUUUUGCGAUUACAAAGUACGAGUGAAAGUUUCUAAGGUCGCAACUUUCAGAUACUUUUAAAAUUUGGUAUUGUCGUUCCAUCUCUUACUUUUAAUUUUUAAUUAGUGUAUUAAUUGUUGAAUAUUUAAUUUUAUUAUUUUUGUGUAUUUUAAAUGAUAACACCCUGUAUUUCGGAGCAAAGGUUUGAGCUACUAAACGUAUGUAGGGAAUGCAUGGGGACCACUAAAUUACCUCAGAACAUUUCAGGUAAAGUGUAAAGUGUUUAAUUAAUAUAAUUACUAAUCGGUAAAGCGUAAACAUUCUGCGGUGAAUUAACUACAGUAAAAUGUUUUCUUAAUAUAUCCCUAACUGUUGUACAUUUACCUGUAGAUAUGCAUAUAUGUACUAAGUAAUAUAUGUACUAAGUCAACUAGGUAGUAAGGUAUUUAGAAUUGUUUUUUUCAUAGGAAGUUUGGGAAGUUUGAUACGGGAAAAACAACGGAAACACGAAACAACUCCAAAACAGUCCACUAAUCUUAAGGAUUUGAGGACUAAGAUGUAGACCACUCUCGGAUUCACUACAACAACAACAAUACGAGAUAACAACGGUGCAUUUGACACCAAAAACAGCAGCAACACAAUGAUAACAAGAUGAACACAAUGAGAAUAAAUUUCGGAUACAAGAAGAACACAAAACUGUCCACUAUGAAUCUACAAAGUGCAAUAAGAUAAAGAUAGAUAGAUAGACCAAAUGAGGGAAUAAUAUUAACAACCCAAGAAUUGUUACACCCUUGGACCUUUAAUACUACACACAACACUAACCUAUCUCCUACAUAGGCACAAGAGGGAUCUCGAUCUUCCAAGGACCAACGUUUCCAAGCUUGAAUCCAACACGACUGAUUACACACUCAAGUUGAUUUCCCUAGUUACAAUUUUAGAUUUGUGCCUCAAGGAGAGAGGACUUGUCUUUCAUUGUUAUACGACAUUCAUCAUCAUCAAAAUCUGAUGAAUGAAUCCCUAGAAGGUUGUAUUUAUAGUGUAUUACAAGAAUAGUAUGAAAUGUCCCAAAUGACCCCUUAGUCAAAGUCUUCAAGUGCGCUCCCUUGGAGUGCAUUGCAUGGACCGAUUUGGGAGCCUGGUUAGGCCUUCCUUUGCACUUCACUGUAUACUCUAAGUCUCAGGUUCAUUCACUCUCGCACUCACCCACCUCCAUGGCCGUACCCAUAUCAUCCUUUCCUUCUUGAAAAGGAUUCGACCUCGAAUCCGUACUUUGUAAAAUCAAGAUAAGACAAACAAACACACGUCCUCAUGACAUGAGAGGUUAGGGUUAGCAAAAAUAACAAAUCACAUGCCAUGCCAAGGUGGGACAAACUUGGAGUAUACCCAUAGGUCCUUUGUGUUGAACAUAAAAACCUUGGUAUAAAUAGCACAAAGGAAGAGGUCAUCAUCAACAAAAAGAGACAAGGAAGAACCUUGUCUUCCUUUAUUAGCAUCCACAAUCAAACGUUGCUUGUCGUCUUGACCAAGCAUCAAGUAGGAAGUGUAGAAAUUCCCAUAUUCUCGGAAGGUGUCAGGGUCAAAUAGGAGAAGUAGCCAAGGGUCUAAGCCGAGGUUAGCCCUUUCUUCCCCUAGAAUGUCACUCCCACAACCACGUAUGACAUUUGCCUUUAAGAGAAGACUAACAUUCAAGAAUAGAGAGACACGGCCUAGAAGUCCUACCUCAAAAAGACAUAUGUCAUCAUUUACAACAUUUCUAUACACAUGAUUUCUAUGAACAAAACUACUAGCAAGGCUUUUACCACACAAGAUGUUCAAAGAGUCACGUGUACCAUCAAGAUCAACUCUAUAAACACCAUCACUAACUUGAGAUUUUUUAAGCACGCCACACUUAUACUCAAGUAGUAGAAUACAUUCAUGAGUAAUUUGAUCUUCAUUCACAUCCUCACUAGUUGUUGGCAACUCACAUACCAACGUAGAAUCACCUUAGUUCGCACAAGGGUCAACUAGUGUGUGAGUACUCUUGUCAAUUGGUAAUAGAACCUUGUUCAAGUUAUAAGGGCUAGCACUAGAUAGACAUAAAUCAAUCUUACAAAACCAAUCAAUUUCAUUAUCUAAAGGAUCAACUAGUGCUUGCGUACUUACAACAAGAGUUUAGUCCUCACGCAACCUAACAUCACCAAGAGUAUCACCAUAGGGAGACUCAAAUACCUCUACUCUAGGUAAAUUCGUAACUACAUCCAAUUGGCCACUACUAGCCACAACACAACAUUCUAAGUUCAUAGGAGUGUAAGGAAUAGUAUUUUUUACCUCGUAGCUCACAUGAGCUACGACCUUCCUCUUGACGUGUGUCCAGGCAGCCCACUUGCUCCCUUUGACCUAUCAUACGAUCCAACCUUUCAUUUGCCAUAACUAGGCAUCGGGACAUAGUGUCAAGGUAGGCUAAAAUGACAUAGGUGGCAUUGUUAUCCAUGGGUUGAGAGGUGGAAGCCACGAAUUUCCUUGUAAUUGUACCUAAAAAAAUAAAGAAAAGAACACCUACAAAAUAAAACACAAGUUAGUUCGAAACAACCUCACCACACUCUCGCACAAUUGAUCGUGUCACACUUGGUUUCACAAGUGUUGAAAGCCGUUUUGUACUUUGCGAGUGAUUGAGGGUCGAGUCUACUCUUGGCCGGAAUAGAUUUUUGUUUGAGUUGACUCAAGCAAAAUUUGUUACGGACUUGAACCAACAAGAUACAACGAUUUCACAAAAGAGAAAAGCACACAACAAAUGCGUAACACGAAUGAACGAACACAAAAAACUAACUAACAAUCUAGUAGAUAAGUACUAGUUUGCCAAUUAGUAUUGGAACCAACGAAAUUGAAACUAAGAAACAACAAAUAGAAACUAAGAAAUCUAAAAUUUGAACUUAAAUAUGUUGCAUGAACAGUAAAACAUGAUGAUGUGGGAGCCACAUACUGGUCUCGGUUGCACACAACUUUUGUUGUCCAAUUUCAAGUCUUGGUCAAUUUUUUAAUUUGAACUUUAGUGGAACUUGUUCAAUGGAGGGAAACACAAAGUAGUCUUUAGAGCUUUUUUUUCAAUUAAAAUUUCAAGACUCAGUCUUGGACUAGACUUGUUCUCCUCCUUAAAACAUGGAUCCUUGUUUUAUGGGAAAGUGGUUGAGAUGUGAUUGACUUGUUGGUGAGUGAUGGUAAGUCUUUCAAGACUAACAAAGUUCUCACACUUUUUCCUUCACCUUUUUGGAUCUAACUUUCACUUUAUUUUAACAAGGUAUGAAGGUUUGGAAGAACACUUCAACAAUCACCAAGAAAAUCAACAACAAUCUCCUAAGAACAAUAACAAGGUCAACUACAAACUUCCAACAAACGGCUAAGUCCUUUAGUGUGGUGUUUUGGUAUUAACAAGGGGUGAAGAUUGUGAUGAACAUUAAGAAUACAACAACUUUUUAAGAAUAGUAACAACACCAACAAUGUCCAGCCCAAGUCCACAAGAAAGGUCACCACACGACCAAGAACAACAACAUCAAUACACGACCAUUAACUUGUCACAACAACAAUCUCAACAAUUCAAGCUCAACUCAAGAUAUAGACUCAAUGUGUUAGUGAUGAAAAAAACUAACACUUAGAGACAACAAAGACAAGUAAAAAUCUCGGCCAAGACACAACAAAAACAUAAUUUUCGGCCAAGAACACAAAAUAGACAGAGUGCUCUCUUUCAUGGAUUUUUCAGUUUUCAACUAUUUUUUUGUAGUUUUCAAGUCUCAAGCCCAAGAUUGAUCUUGUUAGAACAAAAUCAACGAUGGCUUUGAUACCAAAUGAUACGGAAAAAACAACGGAAACAUGAAACAACUCAAAAACAGUCCACUAAUCUUAAGGAUUUAAGGACUAAGAUGUAGACCACUCUUGGAUUCACUACAACAACAACAAUACAGAUAACAAUGGUGCAUUUGACACCAAAAACAGCAGCAACACGAGUGAUUCCAUACUCAAGUUGAUUUCCCUAGUUACAAUUUCAGAUUUGUGCCUCAAGGAGAGAGGACUUGUCUUUUAAUGUUAUACGACAUUCAUCAUCAUCAAAAUCUGAUGAAUGAAUCCCUAGAAGGUUGUAUUUAUAGUGUAUUACAAGAAUAGUGUGAAAUGUCCAAAAUGACCCCUUAGUCAAAGUCUUCGAGUGGGAUCCCUUGGAGUGCAUUGUAUGGACUGAUUUUGGAGCCUAGUUGGUCACUUGAAUACUACUCCCUCCAUUUCAUAAUAAAUGAAUUGUUGAAUUUUGGCACACAUAUUAAGAAAAAAGCAUUAAUGACAUAAAUUUAACCCAACUUUCUAUUUUUACCCCAAAAAAAAGAAAAAGUUGACUUUGUAAUACCUUUUCAAAAGUUAAUUGGUUGUCAAAUCAUAAGGGCAAAUUUGAAAAAAAAAUUCAAUGAUUCUUUUAUUUUGAAACACCAAUAAAUACCCCAACAAUUCACUUAUUCCGAAAUGGAGGGAGUACUAAAAUAAAUCAUAUUAGUUGAAAAGUUUCCACCGCCUCAAAACCCUUAGUCAGCAACUUUAUCCACUUCAUUAUGUUAAUCCCUUGGAUGAAAAAUAAUUCUUAAGUCCAACUCCUAGGUAGCUGCCAAGGAUUUAAGUUUAUUUAACCCACCGCUUAAUGGAUUUGGCCCUAACACAAUGCAAAUAAAUCAUUUCAUACUCUCUAUAUACGUUAAGAAUCUUCUUAUAUUAAAUUCAUCCCAUAUCUAGGGAAUUUUUACUUUCUAAGUGACUUACUCAUCCAAGUACUUUUGAGCUCAGGAAGAAAUUAGGAUUCCUUGGGGAUUGUUCGAAACUCAUGGGGUUACUCUUAUUAGGGAAGAUCCAAGAAGACGGUCACCAGAAGGGCAUCGACGAUGUUACAUAUGAGAAAAAAUAAAAAAUUAAGGUAUGUAGAGCUAAAACCUUCUUCUCUAUAAAGGCACAAUGCUAGCUUACCCGUUUCUCCUAGAAGAGUUAACACAUGUUAUUUGUCAUGUAAGUAGAGCCUUUCUUAGUAAACGUCAAAUUUGGGCCUAUAUGUCUUCCCUAACCAAUUAUCUACACUCGUUCCUCACUCAAAACUACUCGUUCUCAUAGUUCACAUGUCUACUCGUUGAGGUCAUAGUAUUUAUAUUACCCUUUCUCAUCGGGUAUCUAUAAUGUUUUAUGUAAAAAAGACAUAUUACAUAGUUAUAGUAUAAAACAAAAGAGCUAACACUUGAAUUGGUGGAUAUUAUGGUCAAAGAAAUUAGUUGCUAAAAGGAUACUGCUACUUGAGUGCCUAAACAAUAUUUACUGUAAUAUAAUUGCAUAGGCCUAUAAGACACUAUUUGAUGAAGUUAAUGAUGGGAGGGUACAUAGGUUUGGCUUGGCAUAUCGCUCGACGUGAUUCUGCGUACAAGAUCGAGACCAGACCAUUAUAGUGAGCCCAAACAUUGUAGGGUACCCGCCCUUGGGGCAUCAUUUGUAUUUGGAGUCAGCUGGAAUGCCAUGUCUUGAUUUCCCCUGACUCGAGCCAACAUAUGGAAUAUAUGGCCUGCGGGCAGACCCUCAUAGUGAGCUCCUAGACGGGGUGUACCUGGAUACAGGCUGCGAUUACAGUUAUACAUAUGGGAUCAUAAAAAUGAGUAUGUGAGCAACAUAUGUUUUAUGCUUGCCUUAGAUUGCCUUCGGUAGGCCAUCAUGUGGUCAUUUGUAAUAGAGGUAGUUAUAAGACAUCACCUAGGAAAAUUACUAGGCAUUUCAUAAGAAUUACUAACUCGUAAGACAUUAUACGAUAGGUUAAUAAGACAAAUGCAUAGGUUUUAGUUCAUAUGAUGUACCUAUCAUUUGUAUGCUCAUAAGUUGUAGUUUAAGACUAGUGUUUCUAGUACUCAGUUGUCUAUACUUGCUCAUGUUGUUUUGAUUUAUUGAGCAUCCUUGUAUGUCUACUUGUUAUUCUGUCUGCUUUAUAUACUAGUACAUGUUGUAUAUGUACUAACAUCCCUAAAUCUGGGGGCACUAUAUUUUACAAAGCAGGGUCGAGUAUACAAGUUGGCCGACCUUCAUAUUAGGUAGUUGCAAUGUAUUCAGCGAAGCAGUCAGUAAGCUCCAUUCUUAUCAAGAGAUGAGAUCUCAUAGUACUCUUGGUCGUACUUCUGAUUAUAGUUUGGGUAUGUUGGGGACCUAUGUAACGCCCUGAAGUUUUUCUUAGCUAAAUUUUGUCCCUAAAAUAUCAAGCAUUGGCUUCUAGAAUGAUUUAUACCUUUUCUCGGUGGAAUCCCUAGAUUUUAACUUUUCAUGUCGUAGAUGAUUGAAUAAAUUUUCCGUCGACAUAAGAUGCAUCCAAAACAGACACUUGGUGAAGGAGUUAUGGUUAAUUUAAGUUCUAGUCGUAAAACACCGUCAUUCCUGUCCUUGGCGCAUCGUGAGGAGGGUGUAAAUGAUGAUGGUCAAUUUUUAGUGGGACUCCGUAAUGAUGGCGCAUCGCUGAGUGGGCCAAAUUCCCAUUCGUCAAUUUCCAAUGACCCACCGCGAUAGUGGCACGUCGCGGUGGCCCAUGAAAUCAGACUUCCAGUUAUAUUUUAAUAGCGCUCUCAUUAAGGGUAAAAUGAGUGUUCAGGAGUAUACUUUAAAGUUUAGUCAGCUGGCCCGUUAUGCUCCUGAGAUGACGAGUAGUAUGAGGGCCUGAAUGAGGAAGUUUGCUUCCGGUCUUUCAGAUAAUCUGGUGCUUGAGUGUCAGGGAGCUAUGCUGAAUAGGGAUAUGGACUUUGCUAGACUGUCAGUCCACAUACAGCAAGUUGAGGAGAAGAAGAAGAAGAAAGCCAAAUCUAAGAAAAAGGACAUGCAAGCAAAGAGAGCCAGAGCGACAAACCAGAGUCAUGAUCUGCAGCAGAGCGAUAAUUGGGGCAGAAAAUGGCAAAAGAAAAAGAAUUGGGGUAAUGCACAGUCGGCAGCUAGUGCUCCAGUGUCCAGACCCACAGCUGAGCAGCGCACCCAGAAUUUUUAGUCUAGUCAGGGGUCGAGGAUGCAAUGUACGCAAUCGCAGAGAAGUGAAGCCCAGACCUCUCGGUCCUAUCUGCGCUGUGGAAGAUGCAGGAAGAAUCAUCCAGAGAGAUGUCACUUUGGCGCUUUGGUGUGUUAUUCAUGUGGCCAGCUAGGUCAUAUCUAGAGAGACUGUCCGGCAGCAAAAAAAAAUGUUGGAGGAGCCAAGUCGCAGGCGAAUUCAUAUACACCACCACCUCAGAAAGAUGCCACUUCAGCCGCCAAAAAUGGUCAGAACCGGUUGUAUGCUUUGACCAACCUCCAGGAGGCAGAGGCCUCAUCAUAUGUAGUCACCGGUACGUUGUAAAUCUUUUCUCGUGAUGUGUAUGUAUUACUUGAUCUCGGGUCUACCUUGUAUUAUUUGACCCCAUACGUAGCUGUUGGUUUUGGGUUUGAGCCCGAUGUGAUUGCUGAACCUUUUUUGGUUUCCACCCGAGUAGGAGAUUCUGUUGUGGCUAGGAGGGUGUAUAAAAAACUUGUUGUGUCUAUUUUCAGCCGGGAUACUGAAGCAGAUCUUAUAGAACUUGAUAUGGUUGAUUUUGAUGCCAUCUUAGGGAUGGACUAGCUCUAUUCGUGCUAUGCAACCUUGAAUUGUAGGACCCGAAGAGUCAUAUUUUAUUUUUCGAAUGAGUCUGUGAUAGAAUGGGAGGGACAUUCUUUAGCACCUAGAGGGCACUUCAUAUCUUAUCUCAGGGCCCAUAAAUGCAUUUCCAAAGGUUGCUUGUAUUAUCUUAUUCCGGUUAAAGACUCUAGUGCUGAAAGUCUCCCUCUUCAAUCUGUUCUCAUAGUAAAUAAAUUCCCAAAAGUCUUUCCAGAUAAUCUCCCAGGAAUACCACCUAAUAGGGAGAUAUAUUUUGGUAUUGAUUUAUUGCCAGAUACCCAUCCUAUUUCUAUUCCUCCAUAUAGGAUGGCUCCUGCAGAGCUAAAAAAGUUGAAAGAACAGCUAGCAGAUCUUCUAAAUGAAGACUUUAUCCACCCUAGUAUGUCUCCCUGGGGUGCACCUGUACUUUUCGUUUGAAAGAAAGAUGGUUCCCUGCGUAUAUGCAUAGAUUACCGCUAGGUACAAAAGAUCACUAUAAAAAAUAAGUAUCCGCUUCCUAGGAUUGAUGAUCUAUUUGACCAACUACAGGGUGCUAAUUGUUUUUCUAAAAUAGACCUUCAUUCAGGAUAUCAUCAAUUGAAAGUUAGGGAGUCAGACAUUCCCAAGACAGUUUUCCGAAUCAGAUAUGUUCAUUAUGAAUUCCUAGUCAUGUUCUUCGGGUUGACUAACACCCCUGCAUCCUUCAUGGACCUAAUGAAUAGGGUCUUUCGAUAGUUUCUAGACUUGUUUGUCAUAGUUUUCGUUGAUGAUAUCUUGAUUUUUUCCAAAAGUAAGGAGGACCAUGCCAAUAACCUUCGAAUUAUCCUUCAUACCCUUAAAGAACAUAAGUUGUAUGCAAAAUUUUCCAAGUGUGAAUUCUGGUUGAAUGCUAUUGCGUUCUUGGGGCAUAUUGUGUCUAGUAAGAAGAUUAAGGUUGAUCCCCAAAAGAUUGAGGCAGUGAGAAAAUGGCCCAAACCCAUGACUUUAACCAACAUUUGAAGCUUCUUGGGUUUGGCGAGGUAUUACAGAAGAUUCGUCGAGAGUUUUUCUUCCAUAGCUGCACCACUUACUAAGUUGACUCAGAAAAAGGUGAAGUUUUUGUGGUCUGACUCUUGUGAGAAUAGUUUUGAGAAGUUGAAAGACAAGUGGACUACUACUCCUGUUUUGACUCUUCCGAAAGAUACAAAAGGUUUUGUUAUAUAUUGUGAUGCGUUCCGAGUGGGACUUGGGUGUGUUCUUAUGUAGCACGGUAAGGUAAUGGCUUAUGCAUUCAGGCAGUUAAAGGUGCAUGAGCGAAACUACCCUACUCAUGAUUUGUAGUUAGCGGUUGUGGUUUUUGCACUUAAGAUCUGGCGGCACUAUUUGUAUGGGGUACACGUUGAUAUAUUUACUGACCACAAGAGUUUACAGUAUGUUUUCUCACAGAAAAAAUUGAAUCUCAAACAGAGGCGAUGGUUGGAACUUUUAAAAGACUAUGACAUGAGCCUACACUAUCAUCCGGGCAAGGCGAAUGUGGUAGUCGACGCCCUCAACAGGUUAUCUAUGGGCAGUCUUUCUCAUAUGGGGAAAGAAAAAAAGAAGAUGGUAAAGGAUAUUCACUGACUCACAAAUCUAGGAGUGCGACUUUUGGAUUCUGAGGAUGGAGAAGUGGUUGUUCAUGAGAUACCUAAAUCUUCCCUUUGUCCAGAAGUUAAAGAGAAACAGGUUGAAGAUCUCAUCUUGAUGCAGAUUAAGAAAGAUGUGGGUCAACAAACGGUAAUGUCAUUUGAAAUUGGUGGUGAUGGUAUUUUGAGAUACCAGGGUAGGUUGUGUGUCCCAGAUGCAGAUGGUCUGAGAAAGAGAAUCCUUGACGAAGCUCACACGUCGAGGUAUGUUGUUCUCCCUGGCAUUACUAAGAUGUAUCAUGAUUCCAAAACCAUUUAUUAGUGGAAUAAUAUGAAGCGUGAUGUGGCUAAUUAUGUUGCUAAGUGUUUGAAUUGUCAACAAGUUAAACUAGAAUAUUUGAGGCCAGGUGGUUUUUCUUAAGAUAUAGCUUUGCCUUUGUGGAAGUGGGAGAUGAUUAAUAUGAGCUUUAUUACAUGACUUUAGAGGUCCCCAAACUAGUAUGAUUCCAUUUAGGUGAUUGUAUAUAGGUUGACCAAGUCAGCUCAAUUUCUACCUGUCAGGAUAAAUUAUUCAGGAGAGGAUUAUACCAAGAUGUUCAUUGCAGAAAUAGUUCAUUUGCAUGGGGCACCUGUGUCCAUCAUAUCUGACAGAGGUACACAGUUUUGGACAUCGUUUCAAAAGGGUUUAGGUACCCAAGUGAAUUUGAGCACGGCUUUCCACCCUCAGACAGAUGGAAAAGCUGAGCGCACCAUCCAGACCCUUGAGGAUAUGUUGAGGGCCUGCGUGAUUGAUUUUAAAGGUAGUUGGGUAGAGCAAUUACCAUUGAUAGAGUUUGCAUAUAAUAAUAGUUUCCAUUCCAGUAUUAAGAUGGCACCUUUUGAGGCAUUGUAUGGGAGAAGAUGUAGGUCCCCGAUAGGAUGGUAUGAAGUAGUUGAGAAGCAGAUAUUUGCGCCUGAUCUUGUUCAUCAGGAAAUAGAGGAUGUGAAAGUCAUUAGAGAAUGACUUAAGACAGCUCAGAGUCAUCAGAAGUCCUACGCCAAUGUUAGAAGAAGAGAUCUAGAGUUUGAGGUUGGAGAUUGGGUGUUUCUCAAGGUUUCUCCCAUGAAGGUAGUCAUGCGAUUUGGGAAGAAAGGUAAGAUGAGUCCUCACUAUAUAGAACCAUAUCAGAUUGUAAGAAGGAAAGGUGGAGUUACGAUGAGUUAGGAUUGCCAGCUAGUUUGGGUUCGGUUCAUCCGGUAUUUCAUAUAUCUAUGUUGAAGAAGUGUAUUGGAAACCAUUCUUUAGUAUUGCCUGUCGCAGAAAUCAAAGUGACAGACUACUUAUCCUAUGAAGAAGAGCCUGUAGAUAUUUUGGAUUGCCAAGUUAGAAGAUUAAGGAACAAAGAGAUAGCCUCAUUUAAAGUGUUGUGGAGAAACCAGAAAAUUGAAGAAGUGACUUGGGAAUCAGAAGUUGACAUGAGAGCUAUAUACCCAAACCUUUUUGAUCCAAUGUAUGACAAAAUAGAAGGUACAAUCCUUGACUUAAUCUUUCUAUGCCUUAGUAUGCUUGAAAUUACACUUGUAUGUAUCCCACGUCAACAUUCGGGGAUGAAUGUUCCCAAGGGGGGGAUAUUGUAACGCCCCGAAGUUUUUCUUAGCUAAAUUUUGUCCCUAAAAUAUCAAGCAUUGGCUUCUAUAAUGAUUUAUACUUUUUUCCUGGUGGAAUCUCUUAGAUUUAAACUUUUUAUUUUGUAGAUGAUUGAAUAAGUUUUCUGUCGACAUAAGAUGCGUCCAAAACGGACACUCGGUGAAGGAGUUAUGGUGAAUUUAAGUCCUAGUCGUAAAACACCGUCAUUCCUAUCCUUGACGCAUCACGGAGAGGGUGUGAAUGAUGAUGGUCAAUUUCUAGUGGGACUCCGCGAUAGUGGCGCAUCGCGGAGUGGGCCAAAUUCCCAUUCGUCAAUUUCCAGUGAGCCACCGCGAUAGUGACACGUCGCGGUGGCCCAUGAAAUUGGGAUCUCAGUUAUAUUUUAAUACCGGUCUUAUUAAGAGUAUAUUGGGUAUUUUCCCACACCCUUAUCAGUCCAAACACGAGAUUUCAACCCCAGAUUGAGCAUACUACUCAUACAUUCACCAAAAAUAUUCAAGAACACUCUCUAGGGUUCCAUAUUGAUAAUCCAAAUAAAUCAAGAUUCAACUGUGGGUUUUCAAAACAAAUUGAAGAUUUGGAAUCCCCAAGCCAUGGGCAUCAAGAAGCAUCCUUUAAAUUUCUAGAUAGAGGUACAUGGGGUUUACCCUAAAAAAAACUACAUGGGCUUAAAAUCAUUAGAGCAUGAUUUUAAGAUUUUUAUGCAUGAAUUUCAAAGGGGUUUUGGAAUCUAUGAUCUAAAUUACGUACUUCGAAUGUUUUAAUGUUACUAUUAUUUUGACCUUGUGGUCUUAUCUCUUCAAUUGAUUUACAUGUAUACGUAUAUAUAUGGAAUUUGAGAUUUAAGAUCGUUGAGAGCAUAAAUUAUGAACUCCCUCUCAUGUAUUGAAUUAAAGAUUAUGAUUUUGUGAUUUGAAAGAUGUUUUCGCAAUAUUAUAGCAUUUGAGCAUGAUUUGAAAUUGUUGAGAGGGUGUUUCUUGAUAUAAAUGUGUUCUUGUGUGAGAUAAUACAUUGAAACACUCUAAACUUGUAGCCAAAACUUACUUUAAACCCUAAACUAUUCGGGCAAUUAUUUAUCCCCCUUAACAACUUUCAAGUGAAUUUUUUUCCACCCUAAAAAAAUUAUACCACUCUCAAUACAGAGAGAAAAGUGCACGCGCCCCACGUAAUUGCCAAAUUAGUGCCAUGUCAUUGCCACAUAAGAAAUUGUAAUUUUUAAAAAAAUCCAAUAAAUAUAUUAUUUUUAUAUUUUUUUUUAAAAAGCAAAAAAUAUAUUUGUACUUUAUAUAUAUGUAUAUAUAUAUAAAGAACCCCCCCUACUAAUUCUUCUCCAACCCCCCCCCCCCCCCUUCUCCUCCUUCUUUAAUUUUUUUUUUACCAUUAACACCAAUAACUUGAUUCGAAUUUAACAAUAAAUUGAUAAAUAACUUGUUCAUGUAGAUUAAGCCAUGGCUCCUCUAUCAACAUUUAGAAAUCAACAAUUGCAAGUAGAACAAAAUCUAAAAUCAUCCACAACAAUUCCAAAUCUACCAAACGAUUUAGCAGCAAUAAUAGGGGGGAGAAAGAAGAUAAAGAUUGGGGGGUGUGGGGGGGGGGAGUGGGGGUGGGGGAAGGGAAUGGUUAUGAAGAAGAUGAUGAUGGAAGUGAAUUUUUGAUUAUUUUAAUCUAAUAUAUAUAUAUUAAUAAAACUUGUAAAAUUAAAAGGUGGGACCCAUCAUUUUCCAUGUUUUUAAAGCAAAUUACGUGCUGAUUUUUAAAAAAAUUGUCACGUCAGUAAUUAGGGUGGAAAAAAAUUCACUUGGAAGUUGUUAAGCGGGGUAAAUAAUUUCCCGAUUAGUUUAGGGUCUAAAGUAAGUUUUUGCUACAAGUUUAGGGGUGUUUCAAUGUAUUAUCUCAUCUUGUGUUUAAGAGAAAGAAUUACAUGUGAAUUGAGAACUUUGACAUGACCACCUUGUACUGUACUACUGAAAUGCUUGACAAAGAUGAGUUCCUUGCAUGUGUUUACAUGAGGUUUGAGAAAGAGUUUCUUUGAAUUGAAUUAUUGAAAUGGUGGUCCCAAAACUUGUCUUUCAAAAACAGAGAUCUACAAUAGACUAAUAAUGGCUCAGAAAUAUGACUUGCAAGUCAAUGGUAUAACGAUAACAUAUGUAUUUAUGCCAUAACAGAUUAUGUUUUUAGAGCAUCUUUUCAAAGUAUGUUUUCAGAGACUGUAUAUUUUGAUAGAGUUUUAAAAAAAGAAUUAAAGAGGGUUAGGUGGUUACCCGAAGAAGGCGCGAGUUCAAGCAACUCUUAGCCUAAAACCGUAUUUGCAAAUGCCCAUGUAAAUUCUUACUAUAUGAUGUACUUAUGAACUAUUUUAAGUUCUCUCAUAUAUAUUGAAUAAUAAAUGAUUAUUUGGAUAUGCUCUGCGUACCAGUACAUCUGUAUUGACCCCCCUCCCCCUACCUCUCAGGUUCUGAGACUCAGUCUAGGAGUCCAGAUAAGUAGUAGAUAAUUCAGAAAGCUGAUUAGAUUGUGCAGUGGUGAGCCUUCUUUAUUCCAGAAGGCCUGUCUUUUCAGAUUAUGUCACUUAUUUUAGUUUUUGGUCUACUGGGGGCCUUGUCCCAGUUUCAGACAGCUGUCAGAUUUUCAUGUAGUAGAGAUUUCGCAGGCUGAGUCAGAUGUUAUUUAGAUGUAGUUGAUUUACAGUUUCCAUACUUGUGUUGAAUUCAGAAUUGACCAUGUUUCCAUAGCAGAUUAUGUUUCCGCAUCUUCUUUUAUUAUAUGAAUGUUGUGCAUGAUUACCAGAUAGAAAAGGGCAUUUCGGGCCUUCAUGGUUCGGGAUGUUCGUCAUGGACAGGCCCUCGUUCGGGUCGUGACAACCUAUCUCGACCAUAUAGCAUUGUACCGUUAUAGAUUCUAUUAGAGGCUUAGUAGGAAAUCUAAAAUUAUCAUAUGCAACUAUAGUUUCAAUUGUUGACUGUGGUAGUGUGAAUAGUUGGAUAGUUUGACUUAUAUAUAGUUCCUCAUUACGAUUGCAUGUACAGUGACUCAUCCGCUUAGAACAAGUCAUUUGUAUAAUGUGUUCUUAUACGGAUCCUUCUCCACCUCGAUUAGUUUAAGGGCGUGACAUAAUUUUUUUUUAGUUUGAUUUAGAAUUUUAUAUUAUGGAUAAAUUAAGAAACCUUGCUAGUAAAGUGUCAAAAAAAUUAUUCCGAAAGUGGUAGUGGUAGUAAAAAAGCGAAUUACUAGCGGUAGAGGUAGUUCAA
rnacentral:lncRNA from 1 species